ensembl:snoRNA
AGCCAAUGAUGACAAACUAAAUAACUUUUCUGACACCUCGUAUGAGAGCUGCAAUGUGGCUCCUGAUUCUAACUCUGAUCUGAGGCUC